CUUUUUUCACUACCCUUUUGC
rnacentral:siRNA from 1 species